CGCCGCCCAACCACCUCCUACAACCUACACCCACUCUUGAGGAAAAUCGAAAAGAAAAGCGCGCGCGCGACAAGUGAAGCGCACAGGUUAUUCUAUCUGCGCUCGUAUGGGUGAAACAGUGAAACAGCAGUGUGUUUAUUUGUGUGAUUUCUUUUGUUUGCUGGCCAAUUGUGGGGCUUAAUUGAAUGCUUGUCUCAUAUGGGCCAACAGAACCCACAGGCCAAAAAAAACAACAGCAGCAAAAGCCUACUCGAGUGUUUCGCAACGCCAUAAAAAAAGCAUAUAUAUUGGAAAAAAGAGGAGAAAUACCAAAGCAGUACAUAUACACGCACAUAUCGACGAGAAGAGAAGCUAAGCCAGAAAUACUAUAUAUAUAUGUACAUAUAGCGUACAUAUAGCAUAUAAAAACCAGUUUCGAGCCGCCGCAGCAGCAAGCAAAAGCAGCGCAGUCGCAGCGUUUUGGCCGAGCUCUCAUGGACUCGUAUUCCACUGUAUAAACUUAAUUGGCUCGAACACACCAAUUACAUUUAAUAAAAGAACUUUGGCGCCUAAGUGAAUUGCAAACAAAUCAGUGCAGCCCGCAAAUAAAUAAAUCAUUUGAGGUAAGUUUGGAAUGCAGC